rnacentral:snRNA from 1 species
GUGCUCGCUUUGGCAGCACAUAUACUAAAAUUGGAGCAGUACAGAGAUUAGCAUGGCCCCUGUGCAAGGAUGACAUGCAAAUUCGUGAAGCGUUCCAUAUUUUU